UACCAGGUAAUGCUGGGCACUCUGUGAGACUGCCCCGGUUAACGGGGAGGAAGGUGGGGACGACGUCAAGUCAUCAUGGCCCUUACGCCUAGGGCUACACACGUACUACAAUGGCGCAUACAAAGGGCAGCGAUACCGCGAGGUGGAGCCAAUCCCAAAAAGUGCGUCCCAGUCCGGAUUGCAGUCUGCAACUCGACUGCAUGAAGUUGGAAUCGCUAGUAAUUCGAGAUCAGCAUGCUCGGGUGAAUGCGUUCCCGGGCCUU
rnacentral:rRNA from 1 species